AAGGGGGAUUCGAUAUGCCAGAUUAUAGACGCUGGCAUGAGAUGCUUUACACAUGCAAGUCGAACGGCGGCACGGACUGGUGGUGGCGAGAGUGGCGAACGGGUGAGUGUGUAUCAGAACGUGCUAAUGGCAGGAUAACUUCGCGAAAGCGUAGCUAUUGCCACCUUACGCCCUUCAGGGAAAAGCGGGGGACCUUCGGGCCUCGCACUAUUAGGCGGCCGAUAUCCAGUUAGCUAGUUGGUGGGAGUAACGGCUCACCGGGCGACGAUCCGUAGCUGGUUUGAGAGGACGACCAGCCACACUGGGACUGAGACCUGGCCCCAGACUCCUACGGGGAGGCAGCAGUGGGGAAUUUUGGACGGUAAAACCCUGAUCCAGCCAUCCCGCGUGUGCGAUGAAGGCCUUCGGGUUGUAAAGCACUUUUGGCAGGAAAGAAACGGCACGGGGGAUAAUACCCCGUGCAACAGCGGACACCUGCAGAAUAAGCACCGACUAACUACGUGCCAGCAGCCGCGGUAAUACGUAAGUGCAAGCGUUAAUCGGAAUUACUGGGCGUAAAGCGUGCGCGGGCGGUUCGGAAAGAAGAUGUGAAAUCGACUUAACCUGGAACUGCAUUUUUAACUACCGAGCUAGAGAGUGUGUCAGAGGGAGGUGGAAUUCCGCAUGUAGCAGUGAAAUGCGUAGAUAUGCGGAGGAACACCGAUGGCGAAGGCAGCCUCCUGCGGGAUAACACUGACGCUCAUGCACGAAAGCAGUAGAGCAAACAGGAUUAGAUACCCUGGUAAGUCCACGCCCUAAACGAUGUCAGCUUCAGCUGUUGGACCUUCCGGACGCUUGGUAGCGCAGCUAACGCGUGAAGUUGACCGCCGCAGGAGUACGGUCGCAAGAUUAAAACUCAAAGGAAUUGACGGGGACCGCACAAGCGGUGGAUGAUGUGGAUUAAUUCGAUGCAACGCGAAAAACCUUACUACCCUUGACAUGUCUGGAAUCCCGAAGAGAUUUGCGGUGCUGCCGAAGGCCGGAACACAGGUGCUGCAUGGCUGUCGUCGCUGGCUCGUGCUCGGUAGAGAUGUUGGGUUAAGUCCCGCAACGAAAGGCACAACCCUUGUCAUUAGUUGCUACGAAAGGGCACUCUAAUGAGACUGCCGGUGACAAGCCGGAGGAAGGUGAGGAUGACGUCAAGUCCUCAUGGCCCUUAUGGGUAGGGCUUCACGUCAUACAAUGGUCGGGACAGAGGAGUCGCCAACCCGCGAGGGCCAAUCCCGAAACCCGAUCGUAGUCCGGAUCACCAGUCUGCAACUCGACUGCGUGAAGUCGGAAUCGCUGGUAAUCGCGGAUCAGCAUGUCGCCGGUGAAUACGUUCCCGGGUCUUGUACACCGCCGUCACACCAUGGGAGUAGGUUUUACCGUGGUUAGCUAACCGUAAGGAGGGCGAUUACCACGGUAGGAUUCGCGGCUGGGGUGAAGUCGUAACAAGGUAG
rnacentral:rRNA from 1 species